UGAGUUCGCCGGAGAGUAGGUUAUUGCCAGGGUUUUUAUUUUGUACUUUAAACCUUAAAUUUAUUUUUUAUAUUUUUUUAAUGUUCAUGUUUUUGAAUGUUUUAUUCAAAUAAUGUAAAAAAUAAAAUAGAUAUUGACAUGGAUUGAACAAAAGAUAUAUAUUAUUUUAUGUUGCAUAAACAAAUUGGCAAAAUAGAGAUGGAAGAUAAAAAUAUGGUCAAAGUAAUAAGAGUCUAUGGUGAAUGCCUAGGAGCUUUAAGGCGAAGAAGGUCGUGGUAAGCUGCGAAAAGCUUGGGGGAGAAGCAAACAUUUAUUGAUCCCAAGAUUACCGAAUGGAGUAAUCCAACUAUGUAAGAUGCUAGUUAUCUAUUAUCUAAAUAAUAGAGGCGAUACCAGGGGAAGUGAACCAUCUA
rnacentral:misc_RNA from 1 species